GAGUUUGAUCCUGGCUCAGAUUGAACGCUGGCGGCAUGCCUUACACAUGCAAGUCGAACGGCAGCACGGGGGCAACCCUGGUGGCGAGUGGCGAACGGGUGAGUAAUACAUCGGAACGUGUCCUGUAGUGGGGGAUAGCCCGGCGAAAGCCGGAUUAAUACCGCAUACGCUCUACGGAGGAAAGGGGGGGAUCUUAGGACCUCCCGCUACAGGGGCGGCCGAUGGCAGAUUAGCUAGUUGGUGGGGUAAAGGCCUACCAAGGCGACGAUCUGUAGCUGGUCUGAGAGGACGACCAGCCACACUGGGACUGAGACACGGCCCAGACUCCUACGGGAGGCAGCAGUGGGGAAUUUUGGACAAUGGGCGCAAGCCUGAUCCAGCAAUGCCGCGUGUGUGAAGAAGGCCUUCGGGUUGUAAAGCACUUUUGUCCGGAAAGAAAACCUUUGCCCUAAUAUGGUGGGGGGAUGACGGUACCGGAAGAAUAAGCACCGGCUAACUACGUGCCAGCAGCCGCGGUAAUACGUAGGGUGCAAGCGUUAAUCGGAAUUACUGGGCGUAAAGCGUGCGCAGGCGGUCCGCUAAGACAGAUGUGAAAUCCCCGGGCUUAACCUGGGAACUGCAUUUGUGACUGGCGGGCUAGAGUAUGGCAGAGGGGGGUAGAAUUCCACGUGUAGCAGUGAAAUGCGUAGAGAUGUGGAGGAAUACCGAUGGCGAAGGCAGCCCCCUGGGCCAAUACUGACGCUCAUGCACGAAAGCGUGG
rnacentral:rRNA from 1 species